AACGAACGCUGGCGGCAGGCUUAACACAUGCAAGUCGAGCGCCCCGCAAGGGGAGCGGCAGACGGGUGAGUAACGCGUGGGAAUCUACCCAUCUCUACGGAAUAACGCAUGGAAACGUGUGCUAAUACCGUAUACGUCCUUCGGGAGAAAGAUUUAUCGGAGAUGGAUGAGCCCGCGUUGGAUUAGCUAGUUGGUGGGGUAAAGGCCUACCAAGGCGACGAUCCAUAGCUGGUCUGAGAGGAUGAUCAGCCACACUGGGACAGAGACACGGCCCAGACUCCUACGGGAGGCAGCAGUGGGGAAUAUUGGACAAUGGGCGCAAGCCUGAUCCAGCCAUGCCGCGUGAGUGAUGAAGGCCCUAGGGUUGUAAAGCUCUUUCACCGGUGAAGAUAAUGACGGUAACCGGAGAAGAAGCCCCGGCUAUCUUCGUGCCAGCAGCCGCCGUAAUAC
rnacentral:rRNA from 1 species